rnacentral:ncRNA from 15 species
UUAACCUGUGGAUGUGUUGACUCGAAGGAAUAAAUUGGUCGCAGAAUGCGCCUGAGCGCAUGAACCCCUUCGACGAGCAAAAUGCGAAACCGGCCACGUUUG